AACGGUUAGAAGUAAAAUAUCUGUGUAACAAAAGCUGAAUUUAUUUGGAAAUACUCACAUUGCAACUGUGAUUAAUGAAUCUUGCUAGGUUGCCACAUUUUGUUGCAUCAAUGAUCGUAUCCAGAUCAAUACGGAAUAGAGGAGUAUCUCUGCCCGUUGGAGUAGGACAAUCUAAAGAUCUUUGAAUUGCGAGUUCUGUUAAUAUAUCUGGAUCCUCGCUGUUGCAAGCCAAGGGACGAUGAUCGGACAUGCGGCUAUCCGUGUCUUGCUAUAAAUAAGAUAAAGAGACAAUAAAUAAAGAUUAUAUUUUUAAGUACUUAA